UGAGCUUCAAUGCAAAGUUGUCGUUUCGAAAUGCAUCGUGGAGUUGGAACAAGACCUGCAGUUUGACAUAAACAGAUAAGUUUGUGUCUGUGUAUACAUUUUUGAAAGAAAAAUAAAUUGUAUGGUCAUGAAAAGUACCAGUAGUUUUCUUAGUUAUUGUUAGGGCAAUUACGGCUAUCAUGGAAGCCAACUUGCUUACACUUCUUGCACGUUCUAGGCACUUUCUUUUUUUGUCCACCAAUAUUUUUCUUCCCCUCUCCAUCCUUAUUUUGCUUCCCUUCUACAUCCUUAUUUUGAUGCCCACCCUUGUCUAAGUG
rnacentral:lncRNA from 1 species